UUCAUUGUUGACAUUCUUUUUAUUUAAAUAGCCAGUACACGUACAACGCAUGCGUUGUCAAUCUCUAGCUAGGUUUUAAUUUGAAGUUCACAUGAAUACGGAUUUAAAGAGGUCGACUCAUUCACUUGCAAGUGAAUAACUAAUUAUCAAUGUUUCUUAGCGUAAUUUGACAAAAUUGAACAUUUUUGGCUGCAAAAAGCGA
rnacentral:lncRNA from 1 species